rnacentral:tRNA from 1 species
GCGGACAUGGCGGAACUAGGUAUACGCAACGGCCUUAAAAGCCGUCGGCCAUUGGCCUUGUGGGUUCGAGUCCCACUGUCCGCACCA